rnacentral:rRNA from 1 species
UACAGAGGGUGCAAGCGUUAAUCGGAGUUACUGGGCGUAAAGCGUGCGCAGGCGGUUCGUUGUGUCGGUGGUGAAAUCCCCGGGCUUAACCUGGGAAUGGCCAUGGAAACUGGCGAACUGGAGUGCGGCAGAGGGGGGUGGAAUUCCGCGUGUAGCAGUGAAAUGCGUAGAGAUGCGGAGGAACACCGAUGGCGAAGGCAGCCCCCUGGGCUAGCACUGACGCUCAGGCACGAAAGCGUGGGGAGCAAACAGG